CAGGCUGAUGGAAUGAUGAAUGAAGCAUUGAUUCCUGCUAUUUCCGGGGCCCUACAAGUAAGUCUUUUAGUUGCAAUUGCAGGUAGAUCGAUUGACUGAUUUAGCAAAGUCUGUACCAGUUCACCGCUCAAAAGUCCAGACUAUGAGUGCUGAGGUGCUGGAUAGUAAUCCUUACAGUAGGCUGAUGGCACUUCAAAGAAUGGGAAUUGUUGAUAAUUAUGAAAGAAUACGGGAGUUCUCUGUUGCCAUUGUUGUAUGUACCAUCCUCUUCUCUCUAUUGUUCCAGGCUGUUUUGGAUUUGGUUGUAUUUCAUUCUCUGUACAGGUUUUCUGUCACCAUUGGGUAUAGGGAUGUGGAAAAGAAAGUGCUCAACUUGCUUUUAUGCAAACCAUUGCACUUUUUGAUGUUUGAUCACUUCAGAUACUUUACUUCCUGAGAUGAUUGCGUUUAGCUCUAGAUUUGUAUCUUCAUAUGCAUACACUGACUUGGAAGUACAAGGACUAGAAAUUCCAUAUCUCUUCCUUCAGUUUUAAAUUCCAUGGCGAGGUAAAUAUGAUAUUACAUCAUUGAUCCUGUCAAUCACAUGAAUCUUCAUUUUCAACUAUAUCCGGAUGCAAACUGCAAACCUUAGGAGGAAUAAUCAAGUAUUUUGUUUGAUACUCCUAUUUUUAUGACACACUGUGUUUUAUGAAUUUCAUUUUAUCGUGCAAUUUCUAAUAAUUUUUCCUUCUAAACAACACUGAUCUAGAGGUAUUAUUAUCUCCUGUCUCAAUCCACAGGGAAUAGGUGGAGUGGGUUCCGAUUGCUGCCGAAAUGUUAACAAGAUGCGGGGUAGGCCGUCUUUUGUUGUAUGAUUAUGACAAAGUGGAGUUGGCUAACAUGAAUAGGCUAUUCUUCCGUCCAGAGCAGAUUUUGAAAAAAAAAGGUCGCCAGAAAAAUCGCCUGCGGCAGCUGUCGGCAGCGGUAGAGUCAAAAGUGGCAAGGGCUGGUCAAAUUGGGUCUUGGGUCAUCCUGAUAGGCCUAUGUGAUCUUGAAAGUCUUCUUGAACAUGGUUAAAUUUCAAAAUCAAACAAGGCCCAAUCAUCAUAAAUUUAGUGGAACGGGGCAGAAGGCAUGAUCAGCAAGCACCUUCAUCCCUAUAAUUAAUUUUCUUUUUCGCUCGUUUGAAUAUUUCUCCGCAUCUAGAAGCUUAAGAGUGUUGUAAUUGAGGCUAAAGCUCAACUUGUUGGAAUCCAUGAGGAUAAUUCCAAUUCAAUCCUAUCGGAUAAUCUAAUGAACAACACAACCAAGAUUC